rnacentral:tRNA from 1 species
UCCUCCUUAGCUCAGUUGGUUAGAGCAUCUGAGUGUUAAUCAGAGGGUCGCUGGUUCAAGUCCAGCAGGGGGAG